CGUGUAGGCGGUUUAAUAAGUCAGAUGUAAAAGCCCCCGGCUUAACCGGGGAUAGUCAUUUGAAACUGUUAGGCUUGAGUGCGAGAGAGGGUAGCGGAAUUCCCAGUGUAGCGGUGAAAUGCGUAGAUAUUGGGAAGAACACCAGUAGCGAAGGCGGCUACCUGGCUCGCAACUGACGCUAAGGCGCGAAAGCGUGGGGAGCAAACA
rnacentral:rRNA from 1 species